AGAGAGUGAGACAGUGAGUGAGCAGGAAGAAGCAGAAGAGAUCUCAAGUUAGUUUUCUCUCUGUGAGGAACAAGCUGUGAGGGUCUGGUCUGAGGAGAGGGUCUGGUCUGGGGGGUCUGGUCUGAGGGGUCUGGUCUGGGGGAGGGUCUGGGGGGUCUGGUCUGAGGAGAGGGUCUGGGGGGUCUGGACUGAGGAGAUGGUCUGGUCUGGGGGGUCUGGUCUCACACACACACACACACACACACACACACACACACACACACACACACACACACACACACACACACACACACACACACACACACACACACACACA